UACAGAGGGUGCGAGCGUUAAUCGGAAUUACUGGGCGUAAAGCGUGCGUAGACGGUUACGUAAGUCGGGUGUGAAAGCCCCGGGCUCAACCUGGGAAUUGCAUUCGAGACUGCGCAGCUAGGGUGCGGAAGAGGGAAGCGGAAUUUCCGGUGUAGCGGUGAAAUGCGUAGAUAUCGUUUGGAACGCCAAUGGUGAAAACAGGUAACUGGGAGUGCGCUGACGCUGAGACACGAAAGCCAGGGGAGCGAACGGG
rnacentral:rRNA from 1 species